GACGAACGCUGGCGGCGUGCCUAAUACAUGCACGUAGGAUGCAGUUGCGAACGAGUGAGUAACGCGUAGGUAACUACCUAUUAGAGGGGGAUAACUAUUGGAAACGAUAGCUAAUACCGCAUACUAGUAGAUGGACCUGCGUUGUAUUAGGUAGUAGGUAGGGUAAUGGCCUACCUAGGCAACGAUACAUAGCCGACCUGAGAAGGUGAUCGGCCAAACUGGGAAUUGGGAAAGGCCCAGACUCCUACGGGAGGCAGCAGGAGGGAAUUUUCGGCAAUGGGGGGAACGCUUACCGAGCAACGCCGCGGGAGUGAAGAAGGUUUUCGGAUCGUAAAGCUCUGUUGUUAAGGAAGCGGUACUUAACCAGAAAGGGACGGCUAACUACGUGCCAGCAGCCGCGGUAAUAC
rnacentral:rRNA from 1 species